rnacentral:misc_RNA from 1 species
ACAUACCCCACACACAUAGGCACAAUCACAUUACUUGAUUGCUCCAUCUCUCUCAAUUCCCCCAAUAAGCCAUAACCAAUGGGCACCCUAUCUCCCAAACUAGCCACCGGCAUUCUCCAUUUCCCGUCUCACCGCCACCAUCGUAAACUGCCUUCACUCCUCCCUGUCAACUUCAAUUCGUCAACAGGAAACAAUUUUGGUUGUAUUAGAUGUAGCAAUGUUAAGGUGAAGACAGUAAAA